rnacentral:rRNA from 1 species
UGAACGCUAGCUACAGGCUUAACACAUGCAAGUCGAGGGGCAGCAUGUUGGUUGCUUGCAACCAAUGAUGGCGACCGGCGCACGGGUGAGUAACGCGUAUCCAACCUUCCCCUUAGUAGAGGAUAGCCCGGCGAAAGUCGGAUUAAUACUCUAUGUUCUUCAAUGCGGACAUCUAAGUUGAAGCAAAGAUUUAUCGCUAAGGGAUGGGGAUGCGUCUGAUUAGGUUGCAGGCGGGGUAACGGCCCACCUGGCCUACGAUCAGUAGGGGUUCUGAGAGGAAGGUCCCCCACACUGGUACUGAGACACGGACCAGACUCCUACGGGAGGCAGCAGUGAGGAAUAUUGGUCAAUGGGCGCGAGCCUGAACCAGCCAAGUAGCGUGCAAGGACGACUGCCCUAUGGGUUGUAAACUGCUUUUAUCAGGGAAUAAAGUGAGGCACGCGUGCCUUUUUGUAUGUACCUGAUGAAUAAGGACCGGCUAAUUCCGUGCCAGCCGCAGC